rnacentral:rRNA from 1 species
UACAAAGGGUGCAAGCGUUACUCGGAAUUACUGGGCGUAAAGCGUGCGUAGGUGGUUGUUUAAGUCUGUUGUGAAAGCCCUGGGCUCAACCUGGGAACUGCAGUGGAAACUGGACAACUAGAGUGUGGUAGAGGGUAGCGGAAUUCCCGGUGUAGCAGUGAAAUGCGUAGAGAUCGGGAGGAACAUCCAUGGCGAAGGCAGCUACCUGGACCAACACUGACACUGAGGCACGAAAGCGUGGGGAGCAAACAGG